GAAGAAGGUCUUYGGAUSGUAAAGSUCUGUUGUAAGAGAAGAACGAGUGUGAGAGUGGAAAGUUCWCWYUGUGACGGUAUCUUACCAGAAAGGGACGGCUWAUUACGUGCCAGCAGCCGCGGUAAUACGUAGGUCCCGAGCGUUGUCCGGAUUUAUUGGGMRUAAAGCGAGCGCAGGCGGUUAGAUAAGUCUGAAGWUAAAGGCUGUGGCUUAACCAWAGUACGCUUUGGAAACUGUUUAACUUGAGKGCAAGAGGGGAGAGUGGAAUUCCAUGUGUAGCGGUGAAAUGCGUAGAUAUAUGGAGGAACACCGGUGGCGAAAGCGGCUCUCUGGCUUGWAACUGACGCUGAGGCUMGAAAGCGUGGGGAGCAAACAGGAUUAGAUMCCCUGGUAGUCCACGCCGUAAAMGAUGAGUGCUAGGUGUUAGACCCUUUCCGGGGUUUAGUSCCGUAGCUAACGCAUUAAGCACUCCGCCUGGGGAGUACGMCCGCAAGGUURAAACUCAAAGGAAUUGASGGGGGCCCGCACAAGSGGKGGAGCAUGKGGUUUAWUUCGAAGCAACGCGAAGAMCCUUMCCAGGUCUUGACAUCCCUCUGACCGUUCUAGAGAWAGAGCUUYCYUUSGGGACMGAGGUGACAGGUGGUGCAUGGUUGUCGUCAGCUCGUGUCGUGAGAUGUUGGGUUAAGUCCCGCAACGAGCGCAACCCYUAUUGUUAGUUGCCAUCAUUUAGUUGGGCACUCUARCGAGACUGCCGGUAAUAAACCGGAGGAAGGUGGGGAUGACGUCAAAUCAUCAUGCCCCUUAUGACCUGGGCUACACACGUGCUACAAUGGCYGGUACAAMGRGUMGCAAGUCGGUGASGACAAGCUAAUCUCUUAAAGCCAGUCUCAGUUCGGAUUGUAGKCUGCAACUCGCCUACAUGAAGUCGGAAUCGCUAGUAAUCGCGGAUCAGCACGCCGCGGUGAAUACGUUCCCGGGCCUUGUACACACCGCCCGUCACACCACGAGAGUUUGUAACACCCGAAGUCGGUGAGGUAACCGUAA
rnacentral:rRNA from 1 species